ACUCAAAGGAAUAGACGGGGGCCCGCACAAGCGGCGGAGCAUGUGGAUUAAUUCGAUGCAACGCGAAGAACCUUACCUGGGUUUGACAUGCACUAGACGCACAUAGAGAUAUGUGUUCCCUUGUGGCUGGUGUGCAGGUGGUGCAUGGCUGUCGUCAGCUCGUGUCGUGAGAUGUUGGGUUAAGUCCCGCAACGAGCGCAACCCUCGUUCCAUGUUGCCAGCGCGUUAUGGCGGGGACUCAUGGGAGACUGCCGGGGUCAACUCGGAGGAAGGUGGGGAUGACGUCAAGUCAUCAUGCCCCUUAUGUCCAGGGCUUCACACAUGCUACAAUGGCCAGUACAGAGGGCUGCGAGACCGCAAGGUGGAGCGAAUCCCUUAAAGCUGGUCUCAGUUCGGAUUGGGGUCUGCAACUCGACCCCAUGAAGUUGGAGUCGCUAGUAAUCGCAGAUCAGCAACGCUGCGGUGAAUACGUUCCCGGGCCUUGCACACACCGCCCGU
rnacentral:rRNA from 1 species